CUACGUGCCAGCAGCCGCGGUAAUACGGAAGGUUCGGGCGUUAUCCGGAUUUAUUGGGUUUAAAGGGAGCGUAGGCCGGAGAUUAAGUGUGUUGUGAAAUGUAGACGCUCAACGUCUGACUUGCAGCGCAUACUGGUUUCCUUGAGUACGCACAACGUUGGCGGAAUUCGUCGUGUAGCGGUGAAAUGCUUAGAUAUGACGAAGAACUCCGAUUGCGAAGGCAGCUGACGGGAGCGCAACUGACGCUUAAGCUCGAAGGUGCGGGUAUCAAACAGGAUUAGAUACCCUGGUAGUCCGCACAGUAAACGGUGGAUGCCCGCUGUUGGUACCUGGUAUCAGCGGCUAAGCGAAAGCAUUAAGCAUCCCACCUGGGGAGUACGCCGGCAACGGUGAAACUCAAAGGAAUUGACGGGGGCCCGCACAAGCGGAGGAACAUGUGGUUUAAUUCGAUGAUACGCGAGGAACCUUACCCGGGCUUGAAUUGCAGAGGAAUUAUUUAGAGAUA
rnacentral:rRNA from 1 species